rnacentral:rRNA from 1 species
CCUACGGGGGGCUGCAGUAAGGAAUAUUGCGCAAUGGGCGACAGCCUGACGCAGCGACGCCGCGUGGGGGAUGAAGGUCUUCGGAUUGUAAACCCCUUUCGGCAGGGAAGAUGGAACGGGUAACCGUUCGGACGGUACCUGCAGAAGCAGCCACGGCUAACUUCGUGCCAGCAGCCGCGGUAAUACGAAGGUGGCAAGCGUUGUUCGGAUUUACUGGGCGUACAGGGAGCGUAGGCGGUUGGGUAAGCCCUCCGUGAAAUCUCCGGGCCUAACCCGGAAAGUGCGGAGGGGACUGCUCGGCUAGAGGAUGGGAGAGGAGCGCGGAAUUCCCGGUGUAGCGGUGAAAUGCGUAGAGAUCGGGAGGAAGGCCGGUGGCGAAGGCGGCGCUCUGGAACAUUUCUGACGCUGAGGCUCGAAAGCGUGGGGAGCAAACAGGAUUAGAUACCCUAGUAGUC